rnacentral:rRNA from 1 species
ACCUGCGGAGUCAUUA